rnacentral:lncRNA from 1 species
GCUCAUUUGGAGAAUCCACUUGUGUCAGGCUUUCAAUUCUUAUUUCCAUAAGAAUGAUGAUUAAGUAUGAAUACCCAGUCAGACCUCCCUCUGAGCCCCAAUCAUACAUUAACAAUUGUCUAUAUUUCUUGUUGUGUGUUCAACAUUAUCUCUAGUUCUUCUUUCCUUGCAAAUUACCUCUUUUCCUGAUGGCUCUCUUCUACUCUAAGAGCAAAACACAGCUAUCAAUUCUAAGUGCUCGUCUCUUAAGCUUCUUCUAGUCAGACAACAAAACCCAAUAAUUCUCCUCAACCCUUGAGCUUCACUGUUUUAGAUGCUCUGUAUGAUGAUUCACUUUCCUAUGAACAGCCCGUGCAAUGCAUGUGUAUAUAGAUUAACAUCGUAGAGGCUGUUCACAUUUGUGAAGUACCCUAAUUAGGACCUAGCACUCUGGUUAGUUAGCAUUUGAAGGACUGUAAUCAGAAAUUCAUUCUCUAGAGGUAGUUACAUAAGCACUUCAGAUCCAUUAUUCAUUUACAAAUGAAAUGAUAUGAUUUUCUUCCAAAUAAUCCAGGAGGAGGGAUAGGGAUUUGGAUGAAAUAAGAUUGGCCAUGAAUUCUGUAAUUGUUGAGGCUGGGCAGUGGAUAAUAUGGGAAGUGGGAGCCACCUUUAAUCCCAUGGGCUCAGAAGGCUGAGGCAGGAAGAUAGCAAGUUCAAAGUCAGCUUCAGCAACUUAUUGAGGCUCUAAGCAACUUG